rnacentral:rRNA from 1 species
GUGUCAGCAGCCGCGGUAAAACGUAGGAGGCGAGCGUUAUCCGGAUUUACUGGGUGUAAAGCGCGUGCAGGCGGUUUGAUAAGUUGGGUGUGAAAGCUCCCGGCUCAACUGGGAGAGGUCGCUCAAGACUGUCAGACUAGAGGAUGGUAGGGGAAGGCGGAAUUCCGGGUGUAGUGGUGAAAUGCGUAGAUAUCCGGAGGAACACCAGUGGCGAAAGCGGCCUUCUGGACCAUAACUGACGCUCAGACGCGAAAGCUAGGGGAGCAAACGGGAUUAGAGACCCCGGUAGUCCUAGCCGUAAACGAUGUGAACUUGGCGGCGGAUGGGUAAAACUAUUCGCUGCCGCAGCAAACGCGAUAAGUUCACCACCUGGGGACUACGGCCGCAAGGUUAAA